ACAUCAGCCGUCGCUCGCUCCUUCCUUCCUCACCCUAGCCCCAAUCCACAGCCCCACGCCCCUCGCUCCUUCCUUCCUCACCCGCCGCCGCUCCCUCCCACCUCCUCCUCCUCCUCCCCCUUCUGCACCCUAGGAUCCCCGCCGCUGCCCUGUUGCUACUCCUCCACCGGCCCGCCCUGCUGCGUCGUGAGCCCCUAGAAUUGACAAGCAAGCGCCCCGCCACCGCCGCCGCAGGCGCACGACAAACCGCCGGUGCACGCACACUUGAAGCAUUGUAUAACAUCGAACACAUGAGAGAUGAACUUCUCAGGCGGCCGGCUUAAUCGAAGUGAGGCGAUGCUUGCCUUGCUGAUCGAUUCAGGUCUCCUCCCAUGCAGAUACAGGCUCCUUGCUGCGGUGCUGGAGAGACGCGCAUGAGCAUGGAGUGGUUUGGCUGUUAGAUCCAUCGCCAACUCGAGCGAACACCAUACUGGGCAGGUGCCAUGGUGGCCGGUGCUUGCGUGGCGGGCAGCAGCCUCUGGCUGCUGAUCGUCAGCGUCAUAGGAGCCCCCUCACUCCAGUGCAUGUGUGCCACCGAACCAUUCCUGUAGCUCAAAGGACACUCCAAUCGUUUGCUUCAAUAUUGUCUGGAAGUGUAGACCGCUCACUGAGGAUGAAUUGUUUCCUGCCAUUGAAGAGAACUACUAUAUCUCAAAGAAGUUCUACUUCGACCUUUCCUACCAGCAGUGUGUGCGCAUGCUCAACAGUCGAUGUUAAGAAGCGCUUCCUUCAUGAGCUUAGUUUGAUUUGGCCCGGUUUUGAUGCCUCUGCAGUGUGUGCGCAUGCUCAACAAGUACAGUCGCAACAACUCAAUUUCUUCAGAUGUGGCAUAGGAAGUCAUGUCCUCAUGUGCUACUAUUUCUAGAGCAUGCCGAAGCAGGCGAUGUGUCAUGUCCCGCGCGGCAGCCUCCCCGAUCCGCCUCGGCACCCACAUCAAGUCCUCUCGGUCUACCUCCUCCAUCAUGUAGCAUGGUUUUGAGCGGCCAGGUGUCCCAGAUUGACAGCGACGGCGGCAUGAGGGUGUGAUAAAAUAAUAAUUAGCAGUAACAUGCACUAAUAUGAGGUUUAGCACCAGGGGUAACUUUAUGCAAUCACACUUAGUAAGCAGCAUUUUCUAUUGCUCUAUGAUUUUUAUGUGGGUAAUGGUGAUCUCUGUACAGACUAUAGAUGACGUUAAAGUACAUGUCACACUGAAAAAGAACAUGCCUGAGAUAAGGCCAUGGAACCUUCA